GCUGGAUCGUAAGUUUUCCAGUUCCAGACGUUCUAGUAUUCCAGUAGUCAGCUGCUGACUGACCCGACUGGACUGGACCGACUGGUUCCUUUCACUCACGCUUCGCAGUCAUAUUAAUUAGUUAUCCUGUGCGUCGUUGCCUUUGCGACUGAUAACGGUUAUCUAAGUGUUCAUUCAGCAGCAGCUGCGUUGUACAUUAUCAUUUAUCACACAUUCUCCGUGGUGGGCCGACAAUCAAACGACGGAUUCGAUUUGCUAGUAGGUAUCUCGCGAUUUGACUUAACGCGCGACUUUUUUAACUUCGCGCUCGUCGAUAAUUAAGUGUGAAUUGUGACUUGUAUCACCUGUGACAUUAUAGAGCCCUAUUUUUAAGGUAGUUAAUCGUCAUUCGUCACUCGCCAUGCAAAAUUGGUUGGAGUUCCAAGCGGUCGUCAUGGCCGCCGGAAAAGGGUCUCGAAUACCCGAGAUGACUGCUACAAAACCCAAGUGUCUGUUGCCAGUCGGCAACAAGCCAAUGAUAUACUAUCCGCUCAAGUUGCUCGAAAACGCUGGGUUUAGAGAUACAAAAAUAAUAGUAGCAGAUAAUUUUCUUGUUGAUAUACAAGAAGAAGUAGAUCAACUUGGUUUAGAAAUUAAUUUGAGUUUUGUUCCGAUUCAAUCUGAUAAGGAUUGGGGUACAGCUGAUUCUCUUCGACAUAUCUCUGAUAAUAUCCUAACUGAUGUCAUCGUUCUUAGUUGUGAUUUAAUUACUGAUAUCGAUUUACACCAAGUUUUAAAUGUCUACAGAAAUAAUAAUGCGUCUUUAGUAUCUUUGUAUUUUUCACCAUCACAAGAUGAACAAUGUGUUUUUACUGUACCUGGGCCUAAAUCAAAGAAUAAAUUUGAAAAAGAUAUUAUUGGAUAUGAUUCAAAAACAUCUAGACUUUUAUUAAUGGCUUCAGCUUCAGAUUAUGAAGAAACUAUGCCAAUUAGUAGUGCAUUACUAAAUAAGUGUUCAAAUUUGACUCUUUGCUCUAAAUUAUUAGAUUCCCAUAUGUAUAUUAUGAAACGUUGGCUAGUUAACUAUCUCGUAAAAGACGUUGAUAUUUCAACUCUUAAAGGAGAGCUACUUCCAUUUGUGGUUAAAAAACAACUAUCAAGACAUUGUAAAAAUAUUACAUUGAAUGAAAAGUGUAUAGAAGAUGAAGAAGAUGAAAAACCUGAUAUUUUUAACAUAUCAAAAGAAUCUGAUAUUGAAACUAAUAUUCGUUCGAUGUCUUGUUUUGGUAAUACAUAUAACUUUGAAGAGAUAAUUAAAUGUUAUGCAUUUGUAGCUGAUUCAAAUAUUGGAAUACGUGCAAACACUUUGUAUGAUUAUUGUAGAAUCAAUAAAAUAAUUCACAAGUUAAACAUAAAUUUAGGGGAUGAAAAAGAUAAAAUUUCACCAGAAGCUGAAAUUUUGUCAAAUCAAUUUGAUAAGGAAACUUGUUUUGUUGGACCUAACACUAAAAUAAUGGAGAAAACAUCCAUUAAAAGUAGCACUAUUGGUUCAAGAUGUACAAUUAAUCCAAAAACUAGAAUAACUGAUUGUAUUUUAAUGAAUGGUGUUACUAUUGAAGAGAGAUCAGGCCUUUUGACAAUUUUUUUUUCGGCUAUCAUUUUCGAUAAUCAUUCAAAUGCAAGCUAAAAGCUGGUUGGAAUAAUAUAAAUAACACUGGAAAUGUAAUAUUUGGUGUAUGUUAGCUAUGUUCAAAGUUGCCUCUAACAUGCUUAAAUGAGACAGAAUGUGUACUUCACAAUUGUAUAGUAUGUCAUGAUGCUGUAAUCAGUGCUGGCUGUGAACUUAAAGACUGUUUGAUAAGCGGUAAUUUUAAGGUCCCGUCUGGAGGAAAACAUUAUAAUGAAGUACUCACUGCUAUGGAGAGACUGAUGG